CGAAAAGCGAAGAUAGAGAAGAGUAGAUAUUUAGGAAACUUAAGAGAGCUGGUGGUUGGUGAGAACCAGUGUGGAAUAAAUAUGGAAUGGGCUCUUGAGCAGCAACCUGAACGUCACAAGUAGGGUUGACGUGAAAAUCCACACGUUACAAAUAACAGACGUCGUAUUAGAGUAUACGGCUAAAUAGUGAUUUAAUAUCUAAUAAACAUAUUAAAUAAAUAUGGGUGGUACCGCGGUCCAAUCGUCCCUUUU
rnacentral:ncRNA from 1 species